GAAAAACUCGACCUGUUAGUCUGGUUGUAAGAAACCUAAUUUCCUUUCCUUCUCAAACGCACAUGCCAGCAGUUACAAGCGUAAAUACCCAGUCACAACUUAGAAUAGGUAGCUGGAUGCAAUCGACGUAGUUGAGUCCGACGUAGUGGAGUCUUUCUUUAAAUUUGUGUUGUAAAUCAUCGAAAUUUGGUUAUUAAAUUUUGAUUUGGUUGUGUAAUCAUGUCGAGAAAGAUGCUAAUCGAUGGAGAAGUGAACAUCUCUAACGAACAGGAAUAUGAUUACGAUCUGUUUGUGAUUGGUGCUGGUAGUGGUGGUGUUCGUGCUUCUAGAACUUCAGCUGCUUAGGGAGCUAAGCUUUGAAUGAAGAUUUCUGGUGGAUGAUUGCAGGUGGAAAUAAGAGCUUGUAUUGCUGUGUUAUUUUUGGCAGUAUUGACAAAGUCUAGUUUGAAUUAAGAGAUGUUGGAGCUGUGUUCUGUUCUUAAAGGAGUUGCUUCCAUGGUCACAAUUGCUAGGUGGUCAUUGAGCUGAUGCUGCAACAGAUGGCUAGAUGGCUGCAAUUUUGGUGUUAAUACAGUGAAUGGCUGAUUGAGGCUUAGCUGGAUUUUGGCUGCAGUUUUGGUGUUAAAAACGGUUAUACCCGCCACCCUACCCUAUCCGACCCGUCAAAGAAUGGGUUGGGUAGGAUCUUACCUGUUUAAUGGCGGGUAGGGUGGCGGGUAAAAUUUUUCUUAACCGCCAGUGAACGGGUAGGGUGGCGGGUAUAGGUCAUAUCCUACCCACCCUACCCGUUGUGCAGCCCUACGUGUAUCAUUUCCGAAGAUUAUAGUUAUGCUUAUUUCACAAGUCAAUAGAGCUUUUUGGAUGGAAGGCAAUUAAGGCAUGUCAAUAUACGGAUCUAAAGCCCAUAUCAGCUCAAACUACGGUUGGUGCUUACACAUUUUGCAAAUUUUGUCAUCUAAUUUACGAUGGCAAAGGUGAAAAGCUCAUUGCGAAAUUACCUGUGCUCCUAAUGUUCCUUUAUGUACAUUUAAAUGAGAAAUGAGCUAUGAUGCAACUCACUCUGUCAUGAACCGUGUUGUGGAUGCAGGUUCGGCCAAGGAUGGUUUCAUCUGUUGUUGUAUGACUGCAAAUGAAGGGUUGCAAGUACAAGAGGAAUUUAAGUGAAUCUGGUGUAUGACUGGAACUUGAAUGCAGGAAAUGAAUAUAUAAUACCUAUGGGUAAUUGAGAAGUUUAUGUUGUUGGGGGUUAGAUAUGCAUUGUUUGCCUUUUGCCUUGGACUAUGAACUUGGAGUCUUGUGUGCAUCAGUUGGCUCUGCCAUCUUUUGAGUGGCUAGGUUCGUGUGUUUGAAACAACGAACGAGUGGCACAGGCUGACAGGCAAAGUACAAAGAAGUGUGCAUAUUUCUAAUGGUUAAAUGAAGAAACAUUUUAACUUUCAUGUAACCAAGUUAUAAUGAUAACAUACAUUCUUGUAAUAGAUUAUUCGCUGCAACAACGAGAAUGCUUGUAAAAGUGGAGUUUUUUCUU